rnacentral:rRNA from 1 species
CUGUCUCAAAGAUUAAGCCAUGCUGUCUCAAAGAUUAAGCCAUGCUGUCUCAAAGAUUACGCCAUGCUUGUCCCAGACAUCAAGCCCCGCCGUUCUCACGGAAUUAACGCCAUUUAUUACACCAAAACCAAUCGGCGCAAGCCGCUUUUCUGGUGAAUCUGAAUAACUACGCAGAUCGCUUCGGUUUCACACCGGCGACAUAUCCUUCAAGUGUCUGCUUUAUCAACUUUCGUUGGUAGUUUAUACGCCUACCAAGGUUUUAACGGAUAACGGAGAAUCAGGGUUCGACUCCGGAGAGGGAGCCUGAGAAACGGCUACCACUUCUAAGGAAGGCAGCAGGCGCGCAAAUUACCCACUCUCGGCACGAGGAGGUAGUGACGAAAAAUAACGAGAUAACCCGCUCUAGCGAGUUAUCAUCGGAAUGAGUACAAUCUAAAUCCUUUAACGAGGACCUAGCGGAGGGCAAGUCUGGUGCCAGCAGCCGCGGUAAUUCCAGCUCCGCCAGUGUAUAUCUAUGCUGCUGCGGUUAAAAAGCUCGUAGUUGGAUCUUCGUGAUCGUCCCAGUCCGCCUUUGUGGCGUGAACUGACGACGUUCACUGAAUCGCUGCUUUACCCUUGUUGCUCUUAACCGGGUGACCUGGGUGGGUAGCAUGUUUACUUUGAAAAAAUUAUAGUGCUUAAAACAAGCGAUUUGCUUGAAUAUUCGUGCAUGGAAUAAUAGAAUAGGCUUUUGGCUCUAUUUUGUUGGUUUUCGGAGCACAAGAGAAUGAUUAAGAGGGACAGACGGGGGCAUUCGUACUCCGACGUUAGAGGUGAAAUUCUUGGAUCGUCGGAUGACGCACUACUGCGAAAGCAUUUGCCAAGAAUGUUUUCAUUAAUCAAGAACGAAAGUUAGAGGUUCGAAGGCGAUCAGAUACCGCCCUAGUUCUAACCGUAAACGAUGCCAACUAGCGAUCUGGUGGUGUUUUCUUAGACCCAGCAGGGAGCUUACCGGAAACGAAAGUCUUCAGGUUCCGGGGGAAGUAUGGUUGCAAAGCUGAAACUUAAAGGAAUUGACGGAAGGGCACCACCAGGAGUGGAGCCUGCGGCUUAAUUUGACUCAACACGGGAAAACUCACCCGGCCCGGACACCGUAAGGAUUGACAGAUUGAGAGCUCUUUCUUGAUUCGGUGGGUGGUGGUGCAUGGCCGUUCUUAGUUGGUGGAUUGAUUUGUCUGGUUUAUUCCGAUAACGAACGAGACUCCAACCUACUAACUAGUGAGCGAAUCUUCACGUUCGCAACACUUUUUAGAGGGACAAGCAGUGUUUAGCCGCAUGAGAAGGAGCAAUAACAGGUCCGUGAUGCCAUUAGAUGUCCGUGUCUACAAGAAAGCUACACUGAAUGAAUC